rnacentral:rRNA from 1 species
AACGAACGCUGGCGGCGCGCCUAAUACAUGCAAGUCGAGCGAGAAGGUGUAGCAAUACACUUGUAAAGCGGCGAACGGGUGAGGAAUACAUGGGUAAUCUACCAUCGAGUGGGGAAUAACCAACCGAAAGGUUGGCUAAUACCGCGUACGCCUCCGAGUCUUCGGGUUCGGAGGGAAAGCUGCACUGUGAGUGUAGCGCUCUUUGAUGAGCUCAUGUCCUAUCAGCUUGUUGGUAGGGUAACGGCCUACCAAGGCUUUGACGGGUAGCUGGUCUGAGAGGACGAUCAGCCACACUGGCACUGCGACACGGGCCAGACUCCUACGGGAGGCAGCAGUAAGGAAUAUUGCGCAAUGGGCGAAAGCCUGACGCAGCGACGCCGCGUGGGGGAUGAAGGUCUUCGGAUUGUAAACCCUUCGGGAGGAAGAUGGAGCGAGCAAUCGUUCGGACGGUACCUCCAGAAGCAGCCACGGCCAACUUCGUGCCAGC